UACGUAGGUCCCGAGCGUUGUCCGGAUUUAUUGGGCGUAAAGGGUGCGUAGGCGGAUCGUUAAGUCAGUGGUCAAAUUGAGGGGCUCAACCCCUUCCCGCCAUUGAAACUGGCGAUCUUGAGUGGAAGAGAAGUAUGCGGAAUGCGUGGUGUAGCGGUGAAAUGCAUAGAUAUCACGCAGAACCCCGAUUGCGAAGGCAGCAUGCCGGCUUCCUACUGACGCUGAAGCACGAAAGCGUGGGGAUCGAACAGG
rnacentral:rRNA from 1 species